rnacentral:lncRNA from 1 species
AGGGUUCUAUUGGUGUUGACUGUAAAAACAUAGACUUUUUUCUAAAACAACUUGUACACAUUUUGAGUUUCUUCUUUUCUUGCUGCUGCUCCCAUCGCUGAAAGAUCCACUGAAUUGUUUAGGUAGUACUACAGUUCAUAAAGAGUGGAGAAUAAAUGCACGCACUUAGUUGCAUAAAUAAAUAUUCCACUUUAAAUCUAAAAUCAUUUUUCCUCUUCUGCAGGUACAUUUUCUAGGUACUAACACUGAAAAGAAACUAAAAUGUAGCAGUAUGUAAAUAGUAUAGGAUGUAAACAUCCUAUGUAAAUGUAGCCACAACUACAAACAAAUGAUUGACAACCAUUUAUAUAAAGUUUGUUUGCGUAAUCAACUCGCAAAAAUUUAGCCCAUAAAAGUCAUUCAUAGUCCAUAGAUACGUACAUGCGCAAAUUAACUCGCAAAAAUUUUUGUUGGGCCCGUGCUUACGCGGGACAUCACUGCCUAGUAUAUAUAUAUAUUUCAACAACUCACUUACAUGAACUAGACGGAUUAUUUGAUUUAAAAUAUAUAUCGGCAUCAUUGUUUAUAAUAUAUAUAGGCAUAAGUAACUAGUGGAUUUGUGGAUUUUUAGAAUCACUUUUUAUUUUCUUCCCUAAUUAAACUAGCACCUAAUAUCCAUAGUCAACUUGUUAGAUUAAAUCUUUUACAUGAGGCAAAGCAACUCUCAAAGAAAAUAUGGAACUAAGUAUAUAAUCGAGGGAAAUGGUGUUAGGCUGCAAUAUUUAUUCUUCAUUUACUCUCUGUAAUCUAAAAUACUCUGAAUUAUUAAUAUAUAUACCCACCGCCGUGAAAGUUUACUCACAGGGUGUUACCACGAAAUUUUGGUUUCUCUUUUUCUCUCUCUAGAUAUCUCAUCUCUUUCUCUUGAAAGUUCUUGUGUUCUUAAUUCAUCAAGUGUGUGUGUGAAUUUGAUCAUAACAAAUGGAUCAAAAGAAAAAAGAUUUAAAAUAUCCUCUAUCUAUUUUUUGGUCUAAAAGUUAUUCUUCCAUCACCUUUUUGAAUCACUAAUUACCUUAAAACUAACAAUUCUCUCUUUAUUCUUUAUUUUUAAAAAGUAUUUAUUAUUUGUCAUCCUCCUAUUGGACAAUAUAAAAAGUUCAUCUCAAUCAGAUUAUUUAUCCAAAUCAUAGCAAUAGACUUCUUCUAGACCCCAAUUUUUUUAUAAAAAAUAUUAUGAUUUUUUUAUCCAACUCCUCUCUAUUUCCUCAAUAUUUUAUUUGGAUUUGAAGACUUAUGACAAAAGAAAAAAUCAACGAAUAAUAUUUAAUUAAUUAAAUCAAGAUUAUUAACAUGAUAUAGAUGAUUAAUAUUUUAUAAAAAAUUAUUAUGUCAUACUCAUAACAAUAUAUUAUUUUAUCUACAAGUACAUUACACACAUUUUUCUCUAUUUUCCUACUUAAAUUUUCCCUAUAGCUACGACCAUCCAUCUGUUUUUUUAAUAAGUUAAUGUUUUAAAUAAAAUUGUAUGUGGGACUUUUUCUUUAAAAAGUAGUUAUCACAAAUUAUCAAAAAAAUUAAGAUAACAAUUUUUCUAUUUAUUUAUUUUUCUAAAAAGGAAGAUAAAUAUUGUGGCACUAUUAAUAUUUUCAUAAUAUAUUAAUUAUUUAAAACAAACUUUUUUUUAAUUUUUUUUAGAUAAAAUACAAAAAUUACUAGAUUUUUUAAAAAAAAAUUUAAGAUCUUGAAGCUGUAUAUAUAUUGUUGAUUUAAAUAAGUUGUGGGGAAAUAAUUAAUAGAGAUGAGAUUUUUGUUUAAUCUAAUAAAAAAAUAACAAAUAAUAAAUACUUUUAAAACAUAAAAUAAAAAUUAGUUACUAGUUAUAAAGGUAUAAGCUCGUAAAAAAGGUGAAUGAAAGGGUAUAAGUGAGCCAAAAAGGUGAAUGGAAUGGUAUAUGCGAACCAAAAAGGUGAUGAAAGAGUAUUUUAAAAUCAAAACAUGAAUGAAAAAUAUUUUUAGACCUUUUCUUAUUAUUCAAGGGUAAUUUUGACCCUUUUCUGUGUAAUCAAUACAAUAAUUGUUCUUAAAAAAUCUUAUUGUUUUUGUCCUUGGGCUGCUAAUUAUUUGAGUCCGAAGUCUAAAGGGUAAAAAAAUUUACUAAAGAUUCCAAAAGGGUAUAUCAUUUUUUUUAAAACCAAAAGGGCAAAAUCACUAUUGACACAACGAUUUUAUUUUUCGUUAAGUCUCAAAUCGCUGACCUACCAGAGUUUUUGUUGAUAUUUUUUUUCUUUUUUAAAAAAAGAAUGACAUUUUUUUGGAAUAUCGCUACCUCUGUAGGGAUAUCUGUGAAAAUAUUUUUUCUUUCUUUUUUAAAAUAUGGCCUUGGUAGCUAUUAAAGUAAAUACUUUUUUCAUAAAUAAAGAUGUCAAUUAUUUUAUAAAAAUUAUUUAAUGUUGGUGAUUUUUUUUUUUGAAAAUAAUUAAAAUCAGCGUUUUAUUAAAAAAAGUUUUUUCUUUUUAAUUAAACAAAUAACUUCUAGUAAAUUUAUGUUUUUAAAAAUAUCGUUGCCUACUAUUUUCUAAAAGAAGUCGUAUUAUAUGUUGAAGAUUUUUCUUCUCAGUUUUUGAUCAAAUAAAUUGCAUUACAAUUUUUAGUAAAGAUUUCACUAAGUGAUUAAAAAAAUCCAUUUUUUUAAGUAGCGAUAUUAACAAAAAUAAAUUCAAUAAAAAUGCUGCAGUUACAACGAUUUUAUUUUAUAAAAAUUAAGAAAACGCUGCCCACGCAGCGAUCUUCUUUGGAAUUUUUUUUGCCGACAUUGCUGAUAGGCCAGCGAUUUUGAAUGUUGAGUGAAAACAAAAUCGCAACGUCAAUAGCGAUUUUACCUUUUUAGUUAUUUUUUUUAUAUAACCCUUUAGAAUUUUUGACAAUUUCUUUUGCCCUUUAAGGCUUCGGGCUCCUAAUUAUUUCCUCAUCAGGAUUUUCUUAUCUAAGUAUAUUUUUGAAGUGAAAACUUGAUAAUUUGAAUUUUUGAACAUGAAUUAAUUUUAUUUGAAAGAAAUUUAAGUUUGGUGAGUGAGCGAGUAAAAUGUCAUUUCAAAAUAUUUGAAAAAUUAUAUCAAAAUUUCAUCACCAAAACAAAUAUCUGAUGAGAAAUAACCAAAUUAUAUAGUACUAACAAGUUUAAUUGCCCUCGAAUAACCAAUGCAUUAAUACAAAAUGAUUUUCUUAAAAAUAUUUUGUUGAGAUAAAUAAAUAUAUUAAGUUUUCGUAAUAACGUCCAACAAUAUUAUAUAUAUAAAUAAAUAUGAAGGGUGUACAAUAGAAAAGCUAAAUCCAAAUAAAAAAUCGAUCACAUAACUUUUUUUUUUGUAAUUUUUAUAAUAAAGGACUAUCAAGGUAUAUUUUUCUCAAUUGGGAAGAGAAGCUUCAUGCUCAUUCAUUUCAGGGUACAAUAGAGUCCAUAAUUCUAGAGACAAGUUAUUUUAACCAUAUUUAAGCUGGUAAGUCUUGUACGUAGACUUAUAAUUCCAAAAGUAUAUAAAAUCCAUUAAUUUGAAAAAAUAGUUAAGUGGAGUGCAAGAUCGAGUAAAUUACAGAGAAAGGAUGAGGAGCUUACUUGCAACUUGCAAGGAACUUGGAGAUGGAGUCUAACAUUCUAUGUUGUUCACUUGGAAGAGAUGAUUUAAUAUUGAUUGUUAU